GCCCGCAUGGCUCAGUGGUAGAGUGCAUCACUAGUAAUGAUGAGGUCAGCCAGUUCGAUUCUGGCUGUGGGCA
rnacentral:tRNA from 1 species